UUACGGCUAUAUCACGUUGAAACAUUGGUUCCCAUACGGUCACCGAAGUUAAACAACGUCGAUCCUGGUCAGUACUUAGAAGAGUGACCGGUUGGGAAUACCAGAUGUUGUAAG